UUUUCUUGUUUCAAAGUAUCUCCUGUAUCUCUGAAAAUGUAUCUGAUAUUUGGAAUAAAUAUGAACAGUAGAUGGAGGAAAUUUGAAAAUUCUUGAGUUAAUUCUUGUGAAUCUUUGUCCUCAGCUUACGACCAUGAAAUGGCCUUCCUGUUGUUGCUCAUACAUCUCCUUCCACCACCACCAGGAGGACCGAAGUCUCCAAAAAUCAGUGCAUGUGAUGCCAUUGAGAGACUUGUUGUCUUUCAUAAGUCAUGCUGCAGUAUGGAGGAGCAUCUCCGCAACCAGCAGGGUCGGCAGCCAUACCUCCUCGCUGUUGGCCGUCAGAAGAGCAAGAUCGACAGCUUCUACAUCGCCAUGGAUAAGCAUCUCAUCCCAUGCCAGGCAAACCGCUCCCUUGGGGCAUUUGAUGAACUUUUCAAAGCACAUUUUGAUGAAUACAAAGUUGGGCUUGUUGUUUGCAGUGCAAUGGAAGAAGACAUUCCAGUCUUUUGUCAAAUACGUGAUAUACUUUUGGUUGAAGACCACAUUUUUUUUAUGACAAUCAAGCUAUUCACAGAUAAUUUUGAUUGUCAUUAUCAUGCAUUCAGGGUAUCACAAAGUGAGCAAAGGUUUAUAAUAAAAAUGUCUGAGCUUAAAUUUCACAAACCAUUUGAUAUCCAAAGCUCAUACAAUGUUUCAGAUGAAAGUUUGUACAUUUUACCUUCAUUCAUUAUGUUUUAGGUCAACUGUAUUAAUGACUGUGUGGCAAAAAUAAAUGAUUGUUGAAAAUGAUAA